rnacentral:tRNA from 1 species
UGGGGUGUAGCUCAGUGGGAGAGCACUUGUCCAGAGGCUCUGGGUUCAAUCCCCAGCACCACAA